GAUAUGCACCGAGCAGCUCCAGCCUGCCAUGGAGUCAUGUGGUCUGUGAGGCGUCUGGAGGAGGAGGAAGAGAGCAAUGUGGGCUGUGAAAGAGCCAAGGAAACCAGAGGCCAGGAAUCCUUACAGGGUAACUUUAUUGGUGCUGGGUUUCAGCCCAGGUCAAGGCCAAGACCAAUGUUUCUGGAAAGUUCUAUUCUUGUGCAGUUCUGGUCUCAGUGCUGCUCUCCCAGUCAAUGGUCGGGUUUGGUACUGACCAAUGCUGGUCAUCAGAGGAUAAAGCUGUCUGCUGAAGCUCAUACUUCCUUCCCACAAUGUCUUUGAAGAGCCGUUUAGCAUUGUGUGCUGACAUUUUAC